AUACUUCUGACAGGGGAGACACCAUGAUCAGGAAAGUGGCUUUCCCAGGGCAAGGCUCACCCAUUGCAUGUGGAGAGUGCUGACCCCUACAUUUCCCCAAAUGAGGGGAGCUGAAACACACAGUCUGUGGUAGUGGAAGACUGUGUUCAUGCUCUCCCC